GUGGGAAUCUGCCCUUGGGUGCGGAAUAACUUUCCGAAAGGAACGCUAAUACCGCAUAAUGUCGUAAGACCAAAGAUUUAUCGCCCAAGGAUGAGCCCGCGUAAGAUUAGCUAGUUGGUGGGGUAAAAGCCUACCAAGGCGACAAUCUUUACCUGGUCUGAGAGGAUGAUCAGCCACACUGGGACUGAGACACGGCCCAUACUCCUACGGGAGGCAGCGGUGGGGAAUAUUGGACGAUGGGCGAAAGCCUGAUCCAGCACUGCCGCGUGAGUGAUGAAGGCCCUAGGGUUGUUAAGCUCUUUUACCCGGGAUGAUAAUGACAGUACCGGGAGAAUAAGCUCCGGCUAACUCCGUGCCAGCAGCCGCGGUAAUACGGAGGGAGCUAGCGUUGUUCGGAAUUACUGGGCCUAAAGCGCGCGUAGGCGGUUUUUUAAGUCAUAGGUGAAAGCCCGGGGCUCAACCCCGGAAUUGCCUUUGAAACUGGAAAACUUGAAUCUUGGAGA
rnacentral:rRNA from 1 species